UCUGGACUGACACUGACACUGAGGUGCGAAAGCGUGGGUAGCAAACAGGAUUAGAUACCCUGGUAGUCCACGCCGUAAACGAUGUCGACUAGCCGUUGGGUCCCUUGAGGACUUUGUGGCGCAGUUAACGCGAUAAGUCGACCGCCUGGGGAGUACGGCCGCAAGGUUAAAACUCAAAUGAAUUGACGGGGGCCCGCACAAGCGGUGGAGCAUGUGGUUUAAUUCGAUGCAACGCGAAGAACCUUACCUACCCUUGACAUCGUGCGAACUUGGUAGAGAUACCUUGGUGCCUUCGGGAGCGCACAGACAGGUGCUGCAUGGCUGUCGUCAGCUCGUGUUGUGAAAUGUU
rnacentral:rRNA from 1 species